GUAUCACAAGAUAACGCUUUACCUCGCGGCUGAUAUCACGGAGAGCGUUACGUCACCGCUGACGGAUGCGAUACCUGUUCUCUGUCCUCAGAUCAGUGUCCGAUGGCCGGUGCCGUGGUGGAAUCGUCCCCCCGGACGUCGGCAUUCGUCAGCCUGGCGGCGACAGAGCUCUGUGCCGUCACUUUGAUGGCCGUCGUCGGCUUUCUCUGGAAAGCUAGGGCUUGCCCUUUGAUUUUUCUUGCCCGGAGGGACUAGAGGUCUCGGAUCGCUUCGCUUGUUCUGGUCAGCAUCGGCUUUUUGACUCGUUGUCGGGCGAUUCUUCUGCUCCUCCUCCUCUUCCAAGGUUUUAUGGGACAAAAAAAUCAAAACAAAAGUGAACAAUGGGAGUGAAGAAAUAACCCGAAUGCUGAACACCAAGUUUAAUGAUAUAGCUAAGAAUCCAGACCUUGAUCUAUACCCUAUGCAGAGAUGAAUGGAUAAACUAUUCGAUAAACAGUGGGUUAAUACAAAUGUGGCUUUUCCAUUGAACUAUGAAGAGGUAAUUGCAUCUCGAACAA